GUGUGAAAUGAAUAAAUAUUACUCGCAACAGUGUGUUUGCAAGAGGUAAGGUGUUUUAAUGUGAACUAUGGAGACUAUGUGUGAUAUUACAGAAAUGCUAUUGAAUACAAUGUUACGGAAUCAGUAUAGAAUGUUCGAUGAUGCAGAAUCGGAGGCUCGACUGAUUAUAUCUGUUUUGACGCCCUUCCGCAGUAUAUAUAAACUUUUCGGAGAAGGCGUAACUCCUUACACAGUUGAGGGUGGAGUUAUUUUCCUCGCAGAGUCCUCCCAUUUUCGACGGGGGAAAGAGUAUUGUAAAUUAGAAUUUGAGAGUCGAAAAUGUCCUUCCGGACCGCGCUGACCAUGUGGCCUAAUGAACCGUAACGGGACAUGGCUGGCAGCGUUUAUGGUAGGGUAGUCUAUUGAGCUACGCACGUCC